ACAGCCAUUCAUUAACAAACAGCAACACAGCGCCAUCACAGCUAACAUGUCAGACAAGAAACAGACCGUGGACCUGGGCUUACUGGAGGAGGAUGAUGAGUUUGAAGAAUUCCCAGCCGAGGACUGGACGGGGUUGGAUGAAGAUGAAGACGCUCAUGUUUGGGAAGACAACUGGGAUGAUGACAACGUAGAGGAUGAUUUUUCCAAUCAACUGAGAGCUGAGCUGGAGAAACACGGCUACAAGAUGGAGACGUCUUAGCGGCUAACGAGGCCAUUCAAGAUUCGAUGACAUUGGUUAUGGACAUUUAUGUUUGAACAUUACUGGUUGAUCACACGCCACCGGAAAUCAUUUGAGGAUGUUAUUUUGUUUCUUUUUUUUUUGUAAGAAAUAUUGAUGGAAGUAAAUUGUUUGGAGAAAAAAAACUGUUUCUUUGAGUGUUUUUACUUACAGAUUAUACAGCAAAUAUUUAGGUGACAUUUAUAGGUACUUCUUUUGCUGUUUAUGUAUUAGAUGUGAGUUUAUUUUACUCAAUAUUUAAUCUGAUUGAAAAAUGGAUUGCAUUUCUUUAGUAAUCACAGGAACAUUGCUGAAAUUAUACAAGUUAUAUUGGUAAAUUCAAACUUCAUGCCGCAUAGUCAAUGGCUGUAUUAACCUGAUGCCCAGAUGUUCAUUAUCAGAAAUCUAGCACGCUUCUUUUCAUCUCGUCCUUGGACGACACUUAUUCUUUGCAUAAACUAAAUCCAUCUUUGCAGUUAUUUGUUUUUGUUUGGAAGAUGACACAAGGUUUGGCUAAAACAUCUACAAAUUACAGUCUUUGUAAGAGCUGUUGAUCGCCGCCGAAGCACACCUGGCAAGUCAACACAAUCUACCUGUAAUGGAUGGCUUGUUAUUGCCCUCUGACACAUCGUACAUUUAUUUUGGUCUACAUGAAUUUUGCAUGAUAUUGUUCAAGUUCAAGUGCGCUCAACAUCAUUUAUCCAAGAUAUUCGUGAUCAUUUUGAAGCAACCAUACUUUUAUUUAAGGCUCUGUUUAUUGAAACUGUCAAAGUGAUGCUUGCAUGAUAGAGGAAGAGUGGGGAAAAAAGUGUACACAGGGAAGUGGAGAUGUACAUAAGAAGUGUGCAGUGGAAGUACACACAAUACUAACAAGUGUGUGUGUUUGUGGUGCAUGCUGCACACAUACAGAGGCAGUUCCUCUGCACUGUGCUGUAUAACAGCCCCCUUCCCUCUCAGCCCCACAGCGCUGGGCCGAGUCCCUGAAGGAGAGAUUAUCCACUGCCGUGUUUGUCAGAGGUAGGGAGGGGGUCUCGGCAUGGGGCUUCCCAGCUUGCCUUGCCUGGGCCUGCCCCUACUGCCAGCCAGGCCCUUCUCUUCCGCUUGGCACAGCAGGGACUCUCGUACUGAACCAGAGGCCAAUUUAUCCCCGCCACACUCCCCCGGCAAAAUGAUUUCUCUCAGUGUUUUGUCGACUCUCAGUCCCAGGGUCCUAAUGAGGUGAAAUAGAUGCCAGUAAGACCAAGGCUGCAAGAGCAGCUUUCAUCCUUAAACAACAUUCAUCCUCUGCCUCUAGAAGUAGAAAGUAACCUACAAAUAUUUACCCAAAUACUGUAUUUACGUAUAGUUUU